GGAGCCGUUAGUUCCUUGUCCUCUUAUGGUUCGUGAAUCUUCCCCGAGACUUGACACCGCUCCUCUCCAGUUUGCUCCGCGAGGUUUGCUUCCCAGAGCUUGCUGCUCACUGUGAGCCGCGAGCAAAAUACUCUCUGCUCCUCUUGUGUAUUCCGACGAGGUAAGUCUCUGACUUUCUUCUUGCACGGCCAAUUGGUAAAUUCGACCGAGCGAUGGCACAGGAUCCAUGGCCAAAAUCUGAGAUCUAAACGGGAGGUAAGUAUCAUUCAAAAUUAAGAGGAAUCGUGUUACCUUUUCCCGUUCUUUUAUUGCCUUAUAUUGUUUUAAGGUGGAUUUCGGCCCUUUGAGUUUCUCCUCGGCCGCUUCCAGCUCAUUCCAAAGUGCCGAGAGCUUGUUGAAGCAUGCCGUGAUGGACAUGUUUCCUUGCUUUAGCUCUGAGAGUGCCUGGGUUAUUGUUCCCUCUUUGCAACAGCAAGGAAAGAAAACUUCGGCAGACAAUCAAUAAUUUGUGCGGAAGCUAGACCAGGACUUCGAGGACGCUCCGAUACCAAGAAAGA